rnacentral:rRNA from 1 species
UUUUCAAAUUCGCACCAAGCCAAAAUCCCCUGGAAAGGGACAUCAUAGAGGGUGAUAAUCCCGUACAUGGCUUGGAGCGCCCGAGGCUUUGUGAUACGCUUUCUAAGAGUCGAGUUGUUUGGGAAUGCAGCUCAAAAUGGGUGGUAAAUGCCAUCUAAGGCUAAAUAUUGGGGAGAGACCGAUAGCGAACAAGUACAGUGAUGGAAAGAUGAAAAGAACUUUGAAAAGAGAGUUAAACAGUACGUGAAAUUGCCAAAAGGGAAGGGUAGGAGGUCAGAGAUGCGGCCUGGGAUUCAGCCUUGCUUUUGCUUGGUGUUUUUCCCAGAUUGCAGGCCAACGUCGGUUUUGGGCACUGGAGAAGGGUAGGAGGAACGUGGCACCCCUCGGGGUGUGUUAUAGCCUCCUACUGGAUACAGCGACCGAGACCGAGGACAGCAGCGUACUCGCAAGAGCGGGGCCUUCGGGCACCUUUACGCUUAGGGCGUUGGCAUAAUGGUCCCUCUACCACC